rnacentral:Y_RNA from 1 species
GGUUGGCCCUAAAGUAGUGGAUUAUCUCAAUUGAUUAUUCACAGUCAGUUACAGGUUGAACUCCUUGUUUUCCUGUUUGCACUUGACUGGUCUAAA